rnacentral:rRNA from 1 species
UUGAACGCUGGCGGCAGGCCUAACCCAUGCCAGUCGAGCGGAUGAAGGGAGCUUGCUCCUGGAUUCAGCGGCGGACGGGUGAGUAAUGCCUAGGAAUCUGCCUGGUAGUGGGGGAUAACGUCCGGAAACGGGCGCUAAUACCGCAUACGUCCUGAGGGAGAAAGUGGGGGAUCUUCGGACCUCACGCUAUCAGAUGAGCCUAGGUCGGAUUAGCUAGUUGGUGGGGUAAAGGCCUACCAAGGCGACGAUCCGUAACUGGUCUGAGAGGAUGAUCAGUCACACUGGAACUGAGACACGGUCCAGGCUCCUACGGGAGGCAGCAGUGGGGAAUAUUGGACAAUGGGCGAAAGCCUGAUCCAGCCAUGCCGCGUGUGUGAAGAAGGUCUUCGGAUUGUAAAGCACUUUAAGUUGGGAGGAAGGGCAGUAAGUUAAUACCUUGCUGUUUUGACGUUACCAACAGAAUAAGCACCGGCUAACUUCGUG